rnacentral:lncRNA from 1 species
UCUUGACUACAGGUUCAGCACUUAAUCCACUCUUCCACCUAGUUGCUCUACAGGGAGCUCAGUAAUGUUCCAAGGAAGACAUGAAGAGUCCCGAUUGGUUCCAGCAGGUGGCGCUGUGUUCCUACCUGUCUUUGCGACGCCAGCUUGGCUUUCACGUUAUCUGGCUCCUUUUGGGAAGGCUUAUUGGAUCCUCAGAACUCAGGAGACUGAGACCAAGUCCCUGCCUUGUCCCCUAGAAAGUUUAGCCUAGGAGACAGCUGCUAGGUCCCGCUGGACGAUGGGAUUCGUGGUUUCAAAGACCGAUCUUCAAACGUCGAGCCGGCUCUUCAGUGGGUAGACAUCCCCUCCACUGGUGCAGAUCUCAGCUCCUCCCCAAUUUAGAAGAUGAUCUGAGAUGGUCAAAAACUCCAUCUCUCUCCCGCCUGCCUGGGAUGGUCAGAAUUUAGGGAGGCAAGCUUUGGGACAACAGCAUCAAUUGGUCUUCCAGGCUCAUCUUCAGAGCCUUUCCAGCACUGUAGGACCUUUGGGGGUUUACCUGUUCUAGAAUAUCCUUUGAGAACUGAGGAAAUACUCCUCUCUUUAGGAAAGUGGAAGCCUGACAUUGCUCACACUGUCAGAGAGGGAAAGGAUGGAAUAGUUUCUCUGAGCAUUUUUCUCUCUUUUCUUUUCUUUUCUUUUCUUUUCUUUUCUUUUCUUUUCUUUUCUUUUCUUUUCUUUUCUUUUCUUUUCCUUUCUUUUCCUUUCUUUUCUUUUCUUUUCUUUUCUUUUCUUUCUUUUCUUUUUUUUCUUUUCUUUCUUUUCUUUUCUUU